CGGUAGCACUGGAAGACUAAACGUCAGCGAAUGGGGAAUUAUAACGCAAGGAAAUGAAAACGUAAAAGCAAAUAGUUUUUAAAAUAUACAUUCAAAUCAAGUGUGCUGGAUAUCUUUCUUAAGCAGCAUCCAGGGAAAUAAAGUGAAUUUUGAGAAUCUGAGAUUGAGAAUAGAAUCAUAGCACCUUUAUGUAUGGUUUUGUAGUUCAGCGACCCAUUCGGUAACAGAAUACCGUUGCCUGAAAUACCCCGUAAAAAUAUAAGGCCGCGGAGGAGCGUGAAGUGAAAGAGAAAUUUUCGGUGUCUACCCCGCAACCCUAGAGAAGGCCUCAUGUGUUACACAAAAUUUUGGACAUAAUUACUACACCAUCUUUCAAACGGGACCAGUCCAGAACUUGCACUGAUGGCCUCAGCCCUCAUGCUCCCAGGCCAGGAGCUAGCGGGACCAUGCCAGGCACCGCAGCAGAAUCCACCUGGGGCCCACUGGGCUCCAGCAGAGAUCCAGCAUGUGCUCGUCACCAUGGAGAAACCUGCCAUCAAGAGGUGCCUGAAGACAGUUCACCACAACACAGCAGCCUAUGAUGAUGUGGCCAAGUGCCUUCAGGAGCAGGGAUGUGUCUGACAUGCAUACCAAUGUUGAACCAAGUUCAAGGCCCACAAUGUGGCCUGUAAGAAUGUCCGCGUGGUCAUCCUGCACUCUAAAAAAAGCUUCUGCCAAGGGCUGCCCCUUCUACAGAGCAGGUCAUGGGUGGCAGCAGCCCAGACCACCUGAGGGAGCAGACCCAGCCGUGUGUGGAUGAGCAAAAGGUUACUCUCCCCAGCAGAAGCAGCAGUAGGAGGCACCAGAACCAGAGACGGAGAUGGAGACAGAGUAUCAUUUUAAGCUGGAAGUGGAAGCAUUAGAGCUGUCCAGUGACCUCAUUCCUGAAAGCCCAGCUGGUACCCAAGUUGACAAGACAAUUGAGAUGGACAUUAGCCAGGGAGUCCAAGGACCUGGGACAGUAUUCUUUGCAGUGGCGGAGAAACAGAAGCAACAUAAAUGCCCAUUAACAGAUGAAUGGUCAAACAAAAUGCAGUAACAGAUAUACAAUGAAAUACUACGCAGCCCUAAAAAGAAAGGAAAUCCUGCCACAUGCUGCCACAUGGAUGAACCUUAAGGACGUUAUGCUGAGCGAAAUGAGCCAGUCACCAAGGACAAUGCUGUCUGAUUACACUUUCAUAAGGUUUCUAAAGUAGCCAAAUUUAUAGAUAUAGGAAGUAAAUGGUGGUUACCAGGGUCUAGGGGAGGAGUUACUAUUUUAUGGCCAAAGUUUUAGUUCUGCAAGAUGAAAAGUUUCUGGAUAUCUGUUUCUCAACCAUGUAAGUUUACUUAACACUACUAAACUGUACUUAAAAUGAUUAAGAUGGGUGGGUAACUUAAUGAUUUUUUACCACAAUAAAAAUGUA